GACAGAGGGUGCAAACGUUGUUCGGAAUUACUGGGCGUAAAGCGCGUGUAGGCGGUCUCGCAAGUCGGAUGUGAAAGCCCAGGGCUCAACCCUGGAAGUGCACUCGAUACUGCGAGGCUAGAGUCCCGGAGAGGAUGGUGGAACUCUCGGUGUAGAGGUGAAAUUCGUAGAUAUCGAGAAGAACGCCGGUGGCGAAGGCGGCCAUCUGGACGGUGACUGACGCUGAGACGCGAAAGCGUGGGGAGCAAACAGG
rnacentral:rRNA from 1 species